GGGUCGUCAUUGAGGCUGACUGCAGCUGACCUACAUGGCCAGUUUGCUCGAGGCUGAAUUAUUUUUUCACCCAUGUCUUUUGCGCACUUGUUGUUUCCUGGGCGGGUUCGCCCGCCACCAGGACCACACCAUAAACCUUUUUAUCUGUAGUUGCAAUCAGCGUCAGUAACAAGUAAAUAAUCAUUUACAACUUUCAACAACGGAUCUCUUGGUUCUGGCAUCGAUGAAGAACGCAGCGAAAUGCGAUACGUAGUGUGAAUUGCAGAAUUCAGUGAAUCAUCGAAUCUUUGAACGCACAUUGCGCCCUUUGGUAUUCCAAAAGGCAUGCCUGUUCGAGCGUCAUUUGUACCCUCAAGCUUUGCUUGGUGUUGGGCGUUUUUGUCUUUGGCUACAGCCCGAAGACUCGCCUUAAAACGAUUGGCAGCCGGCCUACUGGUUUCGCAGCGCAGCACAUUUUUGCGCUUGCAAUCAGCAAAAGAGGUUGGCGAUCCAUCAAGUCUUACUUUCUCACUUUUGACCUCGGAUCAGGUAGGGAUACCCGCUGAACUUAAGCAUAUCAUAAGGGGGGAGAGGAA
rnacentral:rRNA from 1 species